UACGAAGGGGGCUAGCGUUGCUCGGAAUUACUGGGCGUAAAGCGCACGUAGGCGGUCUUUUAAGUCGGGGUGAAUCCUGGAGCUCAACUCCAGAACUGCCUUCGAUACUGGAAGACUUGAGUCCGGAGAGGUGAGUGGAACUGCGAGUGUAGAGGUGAAAUUCGUAGAUAUUCGCAAGAACACCAGUGGCGAAGGCGGCUCACUGGCCCGGUACUGACGCUGAGGUGCGAAAGCGUGGGAGCAACAGGG
rnacentral:rRNA from 1 species